rnacentral:SRP_RNA from 1 species
GCCGGGCACCGUGGAGCAUGCCUAUAGUCCCAGCUACUCCCGAGGCUGAGAUGGGAGGAUUGCUUGAGCCCAGGAGUUCUGGGCUGUAGUACACUAUGCUGAUUGGGUGUCUGCACUAAGUUUGGCAUCAAUAUGGUGACCUGCCGGGAGUGGGGGACCACCAGGUUGCCUAAGGAGGGGUGAACCGGCCCAGGACGGAAACAGAACAGGUCAAAACUCCCGUGCUGAUCAGUAAUGGGAUUGUACCUGUGAAUAGCCACUGCACUCCAGCCUGGGCAACGUAGCAAGACACUGUCUCU